UACGAAGGGGGCUAGCGUUGUUCGGAAUUACUGGGCGUAAAGCGCGUGUAGGCGGGUCUUUAAGUCAGGGGUGAAAUGCCAAGGCUCAACCUUGGAACUGCCUUUGAUACUGGAGAUCUUGAGUCCGGGAGAGGUGAGUGGAACUGCGAGUGUAGAGGUGAAAUUCGUAGAUAUUCGCAAGAACACCAGUGGCGAAGGCGGCUCACUGGCCCAUAACUGACGCUGAGGCACGAAAGCGUGGGGAGCAAACAGG
rnacentral:rRNA from 1 species